rnacentral:tRNA from 1 species
ACCUUUGUGGUGUAGUGGUCAGCACACUCGACACACAUUCUAGAGGUCUGUGGUUCGAGUCCCAGUGAGGGCA